rnacentral:siRNA from 1 species
UCUAUGAUUGGUGGACUUAUACC